rnacentral:rRNA from 1 species
UGCAAGUCGAACGAUGAACCACCUUCGGGUGGGGAUUAGUGGCGAACGGGUGAGUAACACGUGGGCAAUCUGCCCUGCACUCUGGGACAAGCCCUGGAAACGGGGUCUAAUACCGGAUACUGAUCCUCGCAGGCAUCUGCGAGGUUCGAAAGCUCCGGCGGUGCAGGAUGAGCCCGCGGCCUAUCAGCUAGUUGGUGAGGUAAUGGCUCACCAAGGCGACGACGGGUAGCCGGCCUGAGAGGGCGACCGGCCACACUGGGACUGAGACACGGCCCAGACUCCUACGGGAGGCAGCAGUGGGGAAUAUUGCACAAUGGGCGAAAGCCUGAUGCAGCGACGCCGCGUGAGGGAUGACGGCCUUCGGGUUGUAAACCUCUUUCAGCAGGGAAGAAGCGAAAGUGACGGUACCUGCAGAAGAAGCGCCGGCUAACUACGUGCCAGCAGCCGCGGUAAUACGUAGGGCGCAAGCGUUGUCCGGAAUUAUUGGGCGUAAAGAGCUCGUAGGCGGCUUGUCACGUCGGUUGUGAAAGCCCGGGGCUUAACCCCGGGUCUGCAGUCGAUACGGGCAGGCUAGAGUUCGGUAGGGGAGAUCGGAAUUCCUGGUGUAGCGGUGAAAUGCGCAGAUAUCAGGAGGAACACCGGUGGCGAAGGCGGAUCUCUGGGCCGAUACUGACGCUGAGGAGCGAAAGCGUGGGGAGCGAACAGGAUUAGAUACCCUGGUAGUCCACGCCGUAAACGGUGGGCACUAGGUGUGGGCAACAUUCCACGUUGUCCGUGCCGCAGCUAACGCAUUAAGUGCCCCGCCUGGGGAGUACGGCCGCAAGGCUAAAACUCAAGGGAAUUGACGGGGGCCCGCACAAGCGGCGGAGCAUGUGGCUUAAUUCGACGCAACGCGAGAACCUUACCAAGGCUUG